UACCAGCACCCCGAGUUUUCUGGACGAUUAUUGGGCCUAAAGCAUCCGUAGCCUGUUCUGCAAGUCCUCCGUUAAAUCCACCUGCUUAACGGAUGGGCCGCGGGGGAUACUGCAGAGCUAGGAGGCGGGAGAGGCAAACGGUACUCAGUGGGUAGGGGUAAAAUCCAUUGAUCUACUGAAGACCACCAGUGGCGAAGGCGGUUUGCCAGAACGCGCUCGACGGUGAGGGAUGAAAGCUGGGGGAGCAAACCGG
rnacentral:rRNA from 1 species